GGUGGUGGAGCUUAGGUGGAAAGUUGGACUUUGGUGCUCUCAACCGGAGUUCGGCCCUUCAACAUUGAAAAACCAGAAACAGUUGUUUCACGAUGGGUACUGGCUAGGACAAGAGAUGCCAAGCUUACAUUCUUGCCCUUUUGCAAGUCAUGCUUUUGUUCCUUUUCGAUAUAAUCCAAAGUUAAAAUCAGUUCUGGUCAAAGAAUCACAUAUGAUAUGACGGUCUUAUUAUGCACGUGGGCAAAGGUUUAUCCGAGGUUAAAUGUAGAAAAAUUAUCCUUGCAACACUGGCUUGAAGCUGUAAUUUCAGGGAACAAAAAUUAGCCUUGCAACAUUGGCUUGAACAAAGAGCAGUCAACCAUUCUUCUACUGAUUUUGAAGGUCCGAUGCUGGAGAUGGCACACAAGUAAGCAUGAAUGAUGCCCAAUGAACAAUAAUUCGCAACGUAAUGACAUCAAAUACCUUGGAUCGAUAUCGCUCUCUGCAGAUAGAGAAGGAAUCUUAUGAAGUAGUUGUCGUAAUUGGGAAGCUUGUUUAUAGACAAAGUGGGAUGUGUUGACACUGUUGAGGGUUAUACGUGGAUAUUCAUUCUCAGCGUGUCAAGAUCAUUGUACAUAGGGUAGCCGAAGGAGAGCAAUGAUACCCAACUUGUACAGCUAAGGAAGCGCAUAGAGGAGGUUGUUCAAGAACUGGUAAUGGGCCCAAAGCAGACCCCAAAUAUCAGGAGAGCACUUCUGCAGGACAUUGGGAACCUAUCUUGCUUCUUUCGUCAGUGAUAGAGUAAUGACUUUUUGAUACCCAUCCUCCAAGCUUUUCUAAGUGGCAUAGAUGAUCAGUUUCAGGCAGUCUCCUAUGGGAAAAUUGUGUUUGUAUGUUUCUUCGUCGGUCAAAGAAGUGUGGAAGAGUACCUAUUACCGUAUAUUAAACAGGCUUUAAGUGAUGCAACAGAGGCUGUGAUUGCUGUGCCGAAGCAGUUUUUUGCGUAAAAGGAUAUUGCUUGAGAUGAUAGAACGUGCUUUUCCAUUUCUAUGUUAUCCCAGUCGGUGGGUAAGAAGGUUAGCUGUAACUUCCGUUGCAGCUAGCAGUAAUUGCUUAGGUGCAGUCAACUCAUAUGUUUAUCUAGCACCAGUCAUACAUACUCUCCUUCGUCGGCAACUAGCGUCUUUAGCUUCAGAAAAGUCUCCCAUAUCAUGUCCCAAGCCACCAGUGUACCAAGUCCUGGAAAAUGCUUGGAGUUCAGAUAUGUUAGAACAUCAAAGAAAGAUAUGGUACAAAUCAUUGUCACAAUCAAAACAAUGGCAAACUGCAGAACUGAACAACAGUUAGGCGGAGGAAUUGAAUCCAGGGAGGAAGUGACCUGGUAUGCAACCUGAUUUACAGGCUCAGAAACCUAUCAGCAGCUCUACGCAGCAACUAGGGUUUCCUGCUUCGAUGAUAACACUAGUAGAGGAUACUUUUGAGAGUUCUAAAUGGAUAUUUGUUCUCAGCACGUCAAGGUCAUUGUGCGUGAGGCAGAAGAAGAAAGCUGUGAUUCAACACACUAGUUUUCUUGCUGGUGACAUCACAACGGCUGCUGGAGAAUUGAUUGCGCACAAUGGUGUCCCCGAGGUGCAUAAUAGAUAGAUAGGCUCAGCAACGGUUAGUCUGGUGCCACUUCCAUGAUCCUUCUUUACCAAUGCACCGGCUUUGUUAGUUACUUUUUUUUACUUGGUGAAUUUAUUGUUAUCACCCAGCACUAAGUUUAGGUUUGAAAUUUGAAUUCUUCACAACUAGGCCUAACUAGGCCUGGUCAACAAUAUGCAUCACAGGAAUUCCCCUUUAAUAUGUGAAAACUAUAUUAAAGCUGUAGACAUCACUUGUUGGUGCAUAAAAUCCCUGGCAUAGCAAAAAAAAAGCAAAGGGACGGACGAUUGGUCCGAUUUUUUUUCUUUUUCUUUUGCAGCUUCUCUGUUAGAAAUAGAAUGGACAGAAUUCAUACAUAUACACUAGCAGAAUGGUCGCCCCAACUUGUAAAAAAUAUCAAUGAAAAUCAAUGUAAUUGUUUGAGUUUGCACCUUGGCUUGUAUUUAGAAAACG